AUUGAACGCUGGCGGCAUGCUUUACACAUGCAAGUCGAACGGUAACAGGGAGCUUGCUCCGCUGACGAGUGGCGAACGGGUGAGUAAUGCGUCGGAACGUGCCGAGUAGUGGGGGAUAACGCAGCGAAAGUUGUGCUAAUACCGCAUACGUACUGAGGUAGAAAGUGGGGGACCUUCGGGCCUCACGCUAUUCGAGCGGCCGCCGUCUGAUUAGCUAGUAGGUGAGGUAAAGGCUCACCUAGGCGACGAUCAGUAGCGGGUCUGAGAGGAUGAUCCGCCACACUGGGACUGAGACACGGCCCAGACUCCUACGGGAGGCAGCAGUGGGGAAUUUUGGACAAUGGGCGAAAGCCUGAUCCAGCCAUGCCGCGUGUCUGAAGAAGGCCUUCGGGUUGUAAAGGACUUUUGUCGGGGAGGAAAUCCCCAGCGCUAAUACCGCUGGGGGAUGACAGUACCUGAAGAAUAAGCACCGGCUAACUACGUGCCAGCCGCCGCAGUAAAAC
rnacentral:rRNA from 1 species